rnacentral:pre_miRNA from 1 species
CAUGUACUCCCUCCGUUCCGAAUUACUUGUCGUAGGUAUGGAUGUAUCUAGAUGUAUUUUAGUUUUAGAUACAUUCAUUUCUGCGACGAGUAAUUUGGAACGGAGGGAGUAGUUG